rnacentral:rRNA from 1 species
UACGUAGGGGGCUAGCGUUGUCCGGAAUCAUUGGGCGUAAAGCGCGCGUAGGCGGCCCGGUAAGUCCGCUGUAAAAGUCAAAGGCUCAACCUUUGAAUGUCAGUGGAUACUGCCGGGCUAGAGUCCGGAAGAGGCGAGUGGAAUCCCCGGUGUAGCGGUGAAAUGCGCAGAUAUCGGGAAGAACACCCAUGGCGAAGGCAGCUCUCUGGGACGGUACUGACGCUGAGACGCGAAAGCGUGGGGAGCGAACAGG